rnacentral:rRNA from 1 species
AGUGAACGCUGGCGGUAGGCCUAACACAUGCAAUUCGAACGGCAGCACAGUAAGAGCUUGCUCUUACUGGUGGCGAGUGGCGGACUGGUGAGUAAUACAUCGGAAUCUACUUUUUCGUUGUUGAUAACUUAGGGAAACUUACGCUAAUACCUCAUACGACCUACGGGUGAAAGCAGGGGAUCUUCGGACCUUGCGCGAUUUAAUGAGCCGAUGUGGGAUUAGCUAGUUGGAGGGGUAAGGGCCCACCAAGGCGACGAUCCGUAGGUGGUCUAAGAGGAUGAUGAGAUACAAUGGAACUGAGACACGGGGCAGACACAUAGGGGAGGGAGAGGUGGGGAAUAUUGGAGAAAGGGAGGAAGGAAGAUACAGACAUACCGCGUGGGUGAAGAAGGCCUUGGGGUUGAAAAGCCCUUGUGUUGGGAAAGAAAAGCAGGAGGUUAAUAGAGAGCGGUUGUGACGGUACGUAAAGAAUAAGCACGAACAAACUUCGUG